AAGCACCGGACCCAAACGCUAUGCUCAUAAGUUGCGGCUAAAGAUAGAGAAUGAUUCUCAUAGAAGCAAGUUUUCUUCAUUGUUGUGUCUCAACUCUCCGCGUUUCAAGCUCCAGAUCAAUCGAUUUUGAACAAAACGAAGAACAAUUCUCAAUUCACAUUCUGAAAUCUGCAUCAACAACUCAGCUUGAUUCAUCAUUGCACGGACGCACAAACCAAAAAAACAGAAUCGGAAUUAAAGUGAGAAACACACCGGUAUCUGAAGCCUCAAUCGCAAACAGGUGGAGAUGCAAAGAGAUUUGGGAAGAUUAUGAUGAACCCGAUUUAGUAAUCAAACUCAAACAAAAGCAUAUGAGUCAUGUAGAUGUUGUAUGGACUUAAUGGAAUUUGCAUAUAUAUGUACUAUGUAGAAUUCCCAUAUAUAAUGAACUAUGAUCAUGUUGUAUGCAAAAUUGAUUUGUCAAUAUUAAUGUAAACUUGAGUA